GACGAACGCUGGCGGCGUGCUUAACACAUGCAAGUCGAACGGAAAGGCCCUGCUUUUGUGGGGUGCUCGAGUGGCGAACGGGUGAGUAACACGUGAGUAACCUGCCCUUGACUUUGGGAUAACUUCAGGAAACUGGGGCUAAUACCGGAUAGGAGCUCCUGCUGCAUGGUGGGGGUUGGAAAGUUUCGGCGGUUGGGGAUGGACUCGCGGCUUAUCAGCUUGUUGGUGGGGUAGUGGCUUACCAAGGCUUUGACGGGUAGCCGGCCUGAGAGGGUGACCGGCCACAUUGGGACUAAGGUACGGCGCAGACUCCUACGGGAGGCAGCAGUGGGGAAUAUUACACAAUGGGCGGGAGCCUGAUACAACAACGCCGCGUGCGGAAUGACGGCCUUCGGGUUGUAAACCGCUUUCGCCUGUGACGAAGCGUGAGUGACGGUAAUGGGUAAAGAAGCACCGGCUAACUACGUG
rnacentral:rRNA from 1 species